rnacentral:other from 1 species
GGCUUCCUGCCCUGCACGUUAUGGAGGGAAAAGGGGAUCCGGCAGUUGGAUCGUUUGGGAGCCAGCGUAGAUAGUGGUGUGCAUGCCUUUCAGGAGGAAGCCUAAGCUAUCUACAAGGCACCCACUUGUCAAUAGGGGAUCUGACUUUCCUACCAGACGGCAGGGCGGGGUUAUG